rnacentral:tRNA from 1 species
UCCCUGGUGGCUCAGAUGGUAAAGCGUCUGCCUACAAUGUGGGAGACCCAGGUUUAAUCCCUGGGUUGGGAA